UACAGAGGUGGCGAGCGUUAUUCGGAAUUAUUGGGCGUAAAGGGCGCGUAGGCGGCUAGACAAGUCUCGGGUGAAAUCCCUCGGCUCAACCGAGGAACUGCCCUGGAAACUGUCUGGCUUGAGGCCGGGAGAGGGUAGUGGAAUUCCCAGUGUAGCGGUGAAACGCGUAGAUACUGGGAGGAACACCGGUGGCGAAGGCGGCUACCUGGACCGGUUCUGACGCUGAUGCGCGAAAGCGUGGGUAGCAAACAGG
rnacentral:rRNA from 1 species